UUCUUCAACCCUUACAGUUUCUCUUUACUCCCCAAGGCCAUAACAUUAACCUAGCCGCCAUGGUGAAGUAUUCAAGAGAGCCUGAUAAUCCCACCAAGUCUUGCAAGGCUAGAGGUGCUGACCUUAGAGUGCAUUUUAAGGUACCCAUUUUGAUAAAUUUUUAAUUUUCAAUGAUGAUAAAAUUAGUGUUUUGUUUUUAAUCUAUGAGCAUGUCCUUCAUUAACUUAAGGAAUAGUAUUAGUUAACCAUUGUUUUUGGGUGAAACUUUUCUGUCCUGUUAUUGAUUCUAGGUUUAGUAAUUGUUGUGACAUGAUGAGUUUUAGUUGAAUUAUAAUACUUAUUAAAGUAAGUGUUUGAUGUUAGAGAUGAUUGUUUGAACUUGUUUCAUGUUAAUUUGGAUGAUGCUUGGAAAAUUGAGUGAGUUAGAAAACCUGAU